UACAGAGGUCUCAAGCGUUGUUCGGAUUCAUUGGGCGUAAAGGGUGCGUAGGUGGCGCCGUAAGUCAGGUGUGAAAUUUCGGAGCUUAACUCCGAAACUGCAUUUGAUACUGCGGUGCUUGAGGACUGGAGAGGAGACUGGAAUUCACGGUGUAGCAGUGAAAUGCGUAGAUAUCGUGAGGAAGACCAGUGGCGAAGGCGGGUCUCUGGACAGUUCCUGACACUGAGGCGCGAAGGCCAGGGGAGCAAACGGG
rnacentral:rRNA from 1 species